rnacentral:rRNA from 1 species
UACGUAGGGUGCAAGCGUUAAUCGGAAUUACUGGGCGUAAAGCGUACGCAGGCGGCUAUGUAAGACAGGUGUGAAAUCCCCGGGCCUAACCUGGGAACUGCAUUUGUGACUGCAUAGCUAGAGUCCGUCAGAGGGGGGUGGAGUUCCACGUGUAGCAGUGAAAUGCGUAGAGAUGUGGAGGAACACCGAUGGCGAAGGCAGCCCCCUGGGAUGAGACUGACGCUCAUGUACGAAAGCGUGGGGAGCAAACAGG